UCGUAGUGGAAAUGUUAAGUCACGUCCUCACCCAGUGAUUGAGCACCUGGUGGGAACGGCAGGGCCAAGCCAGGGAAGCUCAGCUGCAUGUAGCGUGUCUGAAUGACUAGAAUGGGUAGAGCCAGGAUCUACCCCUUCCCAGACCUCAUUUAAAAGUUGGCAGUGGAGCUGAGAGCGUCUUAUCUAGUGAUUGCUGUGUACCUAAUGAUCUUAUAGGUCUCCUGAAGACUGAAUUCCAGUGGGGGCAUAGACAGAAAUGUCCAGGACUUCUGAUCUUGACAUAGCCGAUGUAGUCCAGUCUUAGCUUCAUUAAGGUAGUGAAUACAUCAGAACACGUGGGAUGGGAGUUCAGCAGAGCAUCAAGGCCUGGUGCCUUUUUUUGAUGACGGUUCCAUGAGAAAAUGUGGAUGCAUGUCAUCCCUUCCCAAUCUGUUCUUCCCUCUCAUUUGUUCCUGGUUACUGAAGUAAAUCCACAUGCGCAAACAGUGAAGACAUCAAACUGCUCCAGCAAGUGUGGCAGUUUGGACCCUGAAAAACUUAGACACAAAAUCACAGUCGUAACAAGGAAGAGGACUCCAGAACAACACUGAAUUAAUUCUGUAGUUCAAGAAAGCAGUAAGUGUGUCAAGAAAGCAAACAUCUUUGUUCUUCCACUUCAUCAGUAAUGCUUUCUAAUGUUAGGCUGUCUCAGGCCGUCUCACCAACAUCAGGAAUUCCAGAAUAUGCCAGGCUGAAUUACUCUGCGGCUUCCCAAUCUCACAGUUAUCACUUUUUUUUAACCCCCUAAAAUCUAGAGGAAAAAAAACCUAGACUAUUAUUAUUACUGCUACUACUAUUCUUCCUGUAUUUGAUAUAACUGGCUAUUAUUUUUGUUAAAGUAUGUUUCUGUAAACUGGCGACUGUAUUUCAGCUGGGGUGUAUGAUCAGUGCUGAGAAGAGUAAUUUCCAACAUAUGACAUCUGUACUUGCUUAUAUAUAUGCAUGUUACUAUUUUUUUUCCCAAGAUUUGUUGAUAUUUAGUUUGUGACCUCUUAGAAUGCUUGUGUUCUUUUUAUUUUUCCCAUUCUGCAUUUGCAAACUUGACUUUUCUGUUGAAGUGUGGUAUCUUAUCCUCCAGUUCCAUUUGUAUUACCUUUACUUUUGACCUUGUUAUCCUUAUAUUGUUUACUCAGUAAUGAAUGUGACUUCUUCAUAACAUUCAGGAAGAUGUCUGUGUCAUGUUUAUGACUUAAUACAUGAACUAAUUGGGAGACAUCGUUCAUUACAAUUCACUUCCCUGAAAGAACUAUGUUUUUUGCCUCUGUGAUUGAUAGUACUUUUAGCAUGUGAAGAAAAAUCUCAUUUUAAAACAAAAAAUCAAUUCAAUUCAUUUUUGCAUAUUGUGCUUUCACUUUCAGGCCAUUUUGAAUUCUAAUAGUCCUUCUGAUGCAGUGGAGACCUUUAGGUUUCAAGAACACACCGAAUGAUUGAAUGCAUUAUUUCACUGAUGCUAUAUGGAGAAAUAAUUCACUUUGGGCUAUAUUAACAGAAGCAGAGCUAAUAGAUUGGGGGAUGUUUUGGUGCCUUUUUUGACGCUUGUUAAUGUCAGUUCUGGAAUACUGUGACCAGUUUCAGAAGGAAAAUCUUAAUGAAUGAAAUAA